UAUAUAUAUGACAAUUUAAGGUGAACAUAAUAAAAACUAUGAAAUACAAUGCGUAAAGCGUUUGAAUCAGUAGAUAAGAAGGCGGCCUGGGUUCAAAUAUAGGUUUUCCUCUUCCAUCCAGGAAAAGCAACAAGAAAAUCAGAUGAAAUUAGAUGGGAUGCAGCCGGAAACUUCGCUGUUGAUAUUCACUUUCCAUGCACGACUUUGGAGUCCGGAAAUGAAAAGGAUUAAUUUGGCUACUCGCCUGGAUCACAUAAGAUAUCUGAGUAGAAUUGUGAAGUUCGACCGAUUCUUCAUGUGGCAACUAUAUAACGGACGAACUCGAGCUAAUACGAUCUUGAAGUUAUGCUGAGCACAAAAACAAACUGCGGCUGGAAAGCGAUAUUUAUCGAUUUUGAAGAAACAUAACUUUGCUAUAUCCUCUCUGUAAACCCUCUUCUAAGACUAUUUUUAAGAACUAAAAUACAGAUAAAGAUGUGCUAGCUAUAAUGUAAUUACAAGUAUAUAUAUAUAUAUAUAUAAUAGGAAAGUAUGUCUUAAGCCAAAUAAAAAAUUGAUUUUGAUAUUUGUUACAUCUAUAUUUACGAGUGUCUCAGAAUGAACGAUUAGUAGAGAUGUUAUUGAAGAUGGUAAAAUAUGUGAGGCAUGAUUAUUUAUAAUAUAUAGACAUUUUACAGGGUAACUGCUAGUGUGCUUGAUUAGAACGAAUAAGAAAAACAAGCAAUUGCAAUGCGCAUUGCACACUUUUGGGCGCAAAGAAGCCAAUCUGUAAAUUCUGAAUGCCAAUUGUAUUUGUGAUACAUAAUUUUUCUAUAACAAAAGUACAAUAUAUAUAACAUUUAGCGGGAACAUCAAAUGUACAAUAUAUAUAUAUAUAUAUAUUUUCAUAACAAUCUCAAACGAUGGCAACAAAGCAACAA